rnacentral:rRNA from 1 species
AGGGCACAUAAUGGAUGCCUAGACGUAUAUUACCGAUGAAGGACGUGGAAGACUGCGAUAAGCUUCGGGUAGCUGUCAACAAGCUUUGAUCCGGAGAUUUCCGAAUGGGGAAACCCAACACGAGUCAUGUCGUGUUACCCUUGUCUGAAUACAUAGGACAUGAGGCGGGAACCAUCUGAACUGAAACAUCUUAGUAGGAUGAGGAAAAGAAAGUAAAUAACGAUUACGAAAGUAGUGGCGAGCGAAAUCGUAAGAGCCCAAACCUUAUAGAUUUUUAUUUAUAUAAUAAAUAAGCUGAUAGGCGAAUAUCUAUGAGGGGUUGUGAUAUUACAUAUGACCAAGUCAGAGCAUUUGAUUAGUUCAAAUAAUCUGAUUUGCGAUAAUUGUCUAUCAACAAUUAGUAAGGUAAGAAAAUUGCGUGGUUAGCAGAAUAGUUUGAAUGACUAGCCAAAGAACGUGAAAGCCGUGUACGCGAAAACGACGCUGACCUUAUGUAUGUUUUAUCGAGUAGGACGGGGCACGAGAAACCCUGUUUGAAUCUGGCUGGACCACCAGCCAAGGCUAAAUAUAAUAUACGAUCGAUAGUGAACUAGUACAGCGAUGGAAAGGUGAAAAGAACCCCGGGAGGGGAGUGAAAUAGAUCCUGAAAUUAUGUGCCUACAAGGAGUCGGAGCAGAUUUAUUCUGUGACGGCGUGCUUUUUGUAGAACGAUCCAGCGAGUUAAUUUCGUACGCAAGGUUAAGUUAGUUAACGGAGCCACAGUGAAAGCGAGCCUGAAUAGGGCGUUUAGUGUACGGAAUUAGACCCGAAACCGGGUGACCUAACCAUGAGCAGGUUGAAGCUACUGUAACAGGUAGUGAAGGACCGAACCAGGAUACGCAGCAAAGUGUUUGGAUGACUUGUGGUUAGCGGUGAAAUGCCAAUCGAACUCGGAGAUAGCUGGUUCUCCUCGAAAUAGCUUUAGGGCUAGCGUCAUGUUAGUAAUGUAUGGGGGUAGAGCUCUGUAAAGGAUUGGGGCGGGCAACUGUACCCACCCUUAACAAACUACGAAUACCGUAUAUGUAAUCAUGGCAGUUAGAACAUCGGUGCUAAGAUCGGUGCUCAAAAGGGAAACAGCCCAGACCAUCAUCUAAGGUCCCUAAAUAUACAUUAAGUGGGAAACAAGGUGAAAUUUCUUAAACAGCGAGGAUGUUGGCUUAGAAGCAGCCAUUCAUUUAAAGAGUGCGUAACAGCUCACUCGUCAAGAGAUUUUGCGUGGAAAAUGUAACGGGGCUAAAUGUAUUACCGAAGAUAUGGAUUAUUACAUUAGUAAUAGUGGUAGAGGAGCGUUCCUAUCAGCAGUGAAGCAGUAUUGAAAAGUAUUGUGGAGCGGUAGGAAGUGAGAAUGCUGGAAUGAGUAACCAUAAGAUAGGUGAGAAUCCUGUCGGCCGUAAGAGCAAGGUUUCCUGAGCUAUGGUAAUCAUCUCAGGGUUAGUCGGGCCUAAGCCGAGGCGCAGAGCGUAGGCGAUGGACAUCAGGUUAAUAUUCCUGAACCGGUUAAGUUUUGUACACUGUUCACGGGGAAGUAAUCGAAGCGGAUUCAUGGUUUAUCCGUCCAACCGAGCGGGAACGCAAAGGGAGUGAAAGUGAUUCUUCGGAGUCGCGAUUUUGGUGAAAGCCCUGGCUAGAAAAGCAGAUGUACGCGUGGACUUAGCCGCCCGUACCGCAAACCAACACAGGUGCUCGAGUCGAGUAGACUCAGGCUUACGAGCGAACCUUCGCUAAGGAACUCGGCAAUACAGCGACCGUAACUUCGGGAUAAGGUCUGCCCCCACUUCGGUGGAUAUCAGCCGCGUUCACUCAGUGAAUAAUAGGUUAAAGAGUACAUUUUUAAUCACAAAACGAAUUUUCUGAGACACGAGCAAACAAAUUGCUCUUUGAACGCGAACCUCUUGUAUCUAACGAUGUGGGGGCCGCAGCAAAAGAGCCCACGGAACUGUUUAUCAAAAACACAGGUCUCUGCUAACACGAAAGUGGAUGUAUAGGGGCUGACUCCUGCCCGGUGCCGGAAGGUUAAGGGGAGUGCUUCACGGUGCAAACUGAAGCCCCGGUGAACGGCGGCGGUAACUAUAACCGUCCUAAGGUAGCGAAAUUCCUUGUCAGGUAAGUUCUGACCCGCACGAAUGGAGUAAUCAUGUGGGCACUGUCUCAGCGAAGGACUCGGUGAAAGUGCAUUGGCGGUAAAGAUGCCGUCUGUCCGUACCAGGACGAAAAGACCCCAUGGAGCUUUACUACAGCUUUACAUUGAAUACGGUUUCAAUAUGUGUAGCAUAGGUGGGAGAUAUUGAAGCAGAUACGCCAGUAUUUGUGGAGUCACCAAGUGAAAUACCACCCUUGUUGUGAUUGUGUUCUCACGCUGACCGUUAUCCGGUUAGCGGACCGUGUAUGGUGGGUAGUUUAACUGGGGCGGUUGCCUCCUAAAGAGUAGCGGAGGCGUUCA